rnacentral:rRNA from 1 species
CCUACGGGAGGCUGCAGUGGGGGAUAUUGCACCAUGGGGGAAACCCUGAUGCAGCACCGCCGCGUGUGGGAAGAAGGUUUUCGGAUUUUAAACCACUGUUCUUGGUGAAGAUAAUGACGGUAACCAAGGCGCAAGCUCCGGCUAACUACGUGCCAGCAGCCGCGGUAAUACGUAGGGAGCAAGCGUUGUCCGGAUUUACUGGGUGUAAAGGGUGCGUAGGCGGUCUUGCAAGACAGACGUGAAUACCACAGGCUCAACCUGUGGACUGCGUUUGAAACUGUGGGACUUGAGUGAAGUAGAGGGAGGCGGAAUGCCCGGUGUAGCGGUGAAAUGCGUAGAGAUCGGGAGGAACACCAGUGGCGAAGGCGGCCUACUGGACUUUAACUGACGCUGAGGCACGAAAGCAGGGGUAGCAAACAGGAUUAGAUACCCGUGUAGUC